rnacentral:rRNA from 1 species
UGAACGCUGGCGGCGUGCCUAACACAUGCAAGUCGUACGAGAAAUCCCGAGCUUGCUCGGGAGAGUAAAGUGGCGCACGGGUGAGUAACGCGUGGGUAACCCACCUUCGAAUCUGGGAUAACUCCGCGAAAGCGGUGCUAAUACCGGAUAAGACCACAGCCGUUUCGGCGGCAGAGGUAAAAGCUGACCUCUCCAUGGAAGUUAGCGUUCGAGGACGGGCCCGCGUCCUAUCAGCUUGUUGGUGGGGUAAUGGCCUACCAAGGCAGCGACGGGUAGCUGGUCUGAGAGGAUGAUCAGCCACACUGGAACUGGAACACGGUCCAGACUCCUACGGGAGGCAGCAGUGAGGAAUUUUGCGCAAUGGGGGAAACCCUGACGCAGCAACGCCGCGUGGGUGAAGAAGGCUUUCGGGUCGUAAAGCCCUGUCAGGUGGGAAGAACCGUUUCGAUACUAAUAAUGUCGAAGCCUGACGGUACCGCCAGAGGAAGCACCGGCCAACUCCGUG